UACGAAGGGGGCUAGCGUUGCUCGGAAUUACUGGGCGUAAAGCGCACGUAGGCGGCUCUUUAAGUCGGGGGUGAAAUCCUGGAGCUCAACUCCAGAACUGCCUUCGAUACUGUAGAGCUUGAGUUCGGGAGAGGUGAGUGGAACUGCGAGUGUAGAGGUGAAAUUCGUAGAUAUUCGCAAGAACACCAGUGGCGAAGGCGGCUCACUGGCCCGAUACUGACGCUGAGGCGCGAAAGCGUGGGGAGCAAACGGG
rnacentral:rRNA from 1 species